CCUAAAUCCGCCGCAGACGGUCUUCUCCCGGCAAAGGGAGGAGCCAAGAGGGAAUGCGGUGCGGGUCAAACCCAAAUCCGCGGCUGUCCCCGCAACUGUAAGCGACGAGCCUUGGCCGAAAACCACUGGGAUGUUCCCGGGAAGGCGGCAUCUGAGGCCACGACCCGCGAGCCAGGAGACCUGCCGUCUGAGACUUUAAGUA
rnacentral:ncRNA from 2 species